GGCUUAAUGGUGUAAUGGAUAGCAUGACUGUCUUCGGAACAGUUGGUUGGGGUUCGAGUCCCUGUUAGGCUA
rnacentral:tRNA from 1 species